ensembl:lncRNA
GAGUGAUCAGAGAUCGAGGGUGGAGCAUUCUCUCUAAACUGACCGUGAUGGUCCAUACUGAGGGUCAAUUUGCUUGGAUUGAAGGAUGCAAAGUAUCGUUCCUGGGUGUGGCUGUGAGGGUGCGGCCACAGGACAUCAGCAUUUGAGUCAGUGGACUGGGAGAGGCAGACCCACCCUCAGUCUGCGUGGGCUCCAUCUAAUCAGCUGCCAGCUGGGCUAGAAGAAGGUGUAAUGAAGAGGAAGUGGAAUGGGCAGACUUGCUGGGUCUUCCAGCCUCCAUUUUUCUCCCGUGCUGGAUGCUUCCUGCCCUGGAACAUCAGACUCCAAGUUCCUCAGCUUUUGGACUAUUGGACCCACACCAGCAAGAAGGCCCUUGGCAGAUGCUGUCAUCGUGAUACAGGACUUCCCCGCCUCCAGAACGGUAAGCCAAUACAUUUCUGUUCAUUAUAAAUUAUCCAGCCUUGGGUAUCCUGUUACUGCAGCACGAAAUGCAUUAAGACAGGGAAAGAGAAAGGAGUUUGUUUUACACAGUCACCCACAGAACCUGGCAAUGUAGCUGUCACCAUCUUAUACCCGCAAUUUCAGGAAUAAUUUUCCCCUGUUGGUUACCGUGGCAGAGAAAGAGACUAUAGAACUGGACCAAGGCUUUUUUCAUUGCUUCAUUCCAGACGUGGCCGUGUAAGUUCUUCUCACAGCUCAUUGACCAAGCCAGUGACGUGGUCCCACCCAAUGACAUAGGGAGCUGGGAAAGUGUACACAUGAAGGAUAUUUGGCGGGGAUUACUGUGGGUUCCGCGUUUACACUUACAUACAUGUAUGCAAUAAAUGCCUUCUCCAGUAGCAGUCCCCUUUAUUCAAGGUUUUGCUUUUCUUGAGUUAGUUACCUGCGGUUGACUGAGGUCGGAAGUAGGUGAGUACAGUGCUAUAAAGUAUUUUGAGAGAGGGGGACCAAAUUUACAUAACUCCUAUUACAGCAUGUUGUUAUAGUUGUUCUGUUUUUAGUUAUUGUUAAUCUCUUACUGGGCCUAUUGUAUACAUUAAAUUUUUUUUUUUUUGGAGACAGAGCCUUGCUCUGUCACAGAGGCUGGAGUUCAUUGGCACAAUCACAGCUCACUGCAACCACUGCCUCCUAAGCUCAGACGAUUCUCCUGCCUCAGCUUCCCGAGUAGCUGGCAUUAUAGGCACCUGCCACCGCGCCCAGCUAGUUUUGUGUCCUAUGGGUGUCCAUGAUGGAGAAGGCUCUGGGAAAUUGUGAGGGAAUUAGUUCAACUGGAAAGAAGGGGAGAGAAGGAUCGGAUGUAAAGGGAGGAGGGCUCGAACUCCUGAUCUCAGGCGAUCCCCCUGCCUCAGCCUUCCAAAGUGCUGGGAUUAUAGGCAUGAGCCAGUGCACCUGGCCUAUAAAUUAAGUUUAUCAUAGGUAUGUACAAAUAGUCCCCAGUUUAUGAUGGUUUGACUUAAAUGAUUUUUCAAAUUUGGGACUAUACGGAAGCAACAUGCAUUCAGUAGAAAGCAAUACAACGUUACUUUUUUUUGGUAUUUUUUUCAAUAGGUUUUUGUUUGGUUACAUGGGUAAGUACUUUAGUGGUGAUUUCUGAGAUUUUGGUGCACUCAUCACUCAAGCAGUGCACACUGUACCCAAAGUGUGGUCUUUUAUCCCUCAACCCCCCUCCUGGCCUUUCCCCGUGAGUCCCCAAGUCCACUGUAUCAUUCUUUUUUUAUUUUGAGAUGGAGUCUUGUUCUGUCACCCAGGCUACAGUGUAGUGACAUAGUCUCAGCUCACUGUAACCUCCACCUCCCGGGUUCAAGCAGUUCUCCUGCCUCAGCCUCCCGAGUAGCUGGGACUACAGGCGCCUGCCACCAUGCCCAGCUAAUUUUUGUAUUUUUAGUAGAGACAAGGUUUCACCAUGUUGGCCAGGAUGGUCUCGAUUGCUUGACACUGUGAUCCACCUGCCUCGGCCUCCCAAAGUGCUGGGAUCACAGGUUUGAGCCACCGCACCCGGCCUCCAGUGUAUCAUUCUUAUGCCUUUGCCUCCUCAUAGCUUAGCUCCCACUUACAAGUGAGAACAUGCGAUGUUAGGUUUUCCAUUACUGAGUUUCUUCACUUAGACUAAUGGUCUCCAACUCUAUCCAGUUUGCUGUCAAUGGUAUUAUUUAGUUCCUUUUUCUGGCUGAGUAGUAUUCACACACACACACACACACACACACACACACACUUUCUUUAUCCACUUGUUGAUUGAUGGGCAUUUGGGCGGGUUUCAUAAUUUUGCAGUUGCAAAUUGUGCUGCUAUAAACAUGUGUGUACACGUAUCUUUUUACAUGAUGACUUAUUUUCCUCUGGGUGGAUACCCAGUAGUGGGAUUGCUGGAUCAGAUGGUAGAUCUAACUUUAGUUAUUUAAGGAAUCUCCACGCUGUUUUUCAUAGUGGUUGUACUAGUUUAUUUUUUCACCAGCCGUGUAAGUGCUUUCUUUUCACCACAUCCACACCAACAUCUAUUAUUUUUUGAUUUAUUAAUUAUGGUCAUUCUUGCAGGAGUAAGGUAGUAUAGAAUUGUGGUUUUGAUUUGCGUUUCCCAGAUCAUUAGUGACGGAGAGCAUUUUUUCAUACGAUUCUCUCUCAUGAUACUGGGCAGAGGCAGCGAACGCAGCUGUGAGAUCUCGAGGGUAAACAGCCCAUACUCUACAGUGCACUGUGUUGUCAGGUGAGUAUGCCCUACUGCAGGCUAGUGUAAGACUUCUGCGCAUGUUUAAGGUAGGUUAAGCUAAGCUAUGAUAUUCCGUAGUUAGGUGCAUGAAAUACAUUUUCAGUUUAGGACAGGUUUACUGUAUUGUAACUUCACUGUAAGUGGAG